CUCCUACGGGGGGCAGCAGUGGGGAAUAUUGCACAAUGGGGGGAACCCUGAUGCAGCGACGCCGCGUGGGUGAAGGAGCACCUCGGUGCGUAAAGCCCUAUCGGCAGGGAAGAAAAGCGAACAGGUUCGCCUGGACGGUACCUGACUAAGAAGCCCCGGCUAACUACGUGCCAGCAGCCGCGGUAAUACGUAGGGGGCGAGCGUUAUCCGGAUUUACUGGGUGUAAAGGGAGCGUAGACGGUUCUGCAAGUCUGAAGUGAAAGCCCGUGGCUUAACCGCGGAACGGCUUUGGAAACUGUGGAACU
rnacentral:rRNA from 1 species